UGAUAUUCACUGUGGGCUUUUCAUAGAUGGCUUAGAUGAUAUUGAGGUAUGUGCCCUCUAUCCCUGCAGUUUGAACAGUUUUGAUCAAGAAAGGAUGCUGUACUUUGUCAAAUGCUUUUUCAGCAUCUAUUGAGAGUAUCAUAUGGUCCUUGUUCUUUCUUUUAUU